UCGACCUGCAUGCAGAACGACCUGUGAACAUGUAAAUACAACUUGGUGUUGGGGAGAUGGGCCUUGGUCYUGAUYUUCAACAUCUCCUGGCGCGCUUGCAUGGUGCUCUUUGGGCAACAUGUAUGUCUUGUCAGAUCUUAACAAACCCCGGCACGGAAUGUGCCAAGGAAAACAUAAAAUGAGAAGGACUUGACCUGUUUGCCCCGUUCGCGGUGUGUAUACAGGUUUUGGCCUCCUUGGAAUCACAAACGACUCUCGGCAACGGAUAUCUCGGCUCACGCAUCGAUGAAGAACGUAGCAAAAUGCGAUACUUGGUGUGAAUUGCAGAAUCCCGUGAACCAUCGAGUUUUUGAACGCAAGUUGCGCCCGAAACCAUCCGGUUGAGGGCACGCCUGCCUGGGCGUCACGCAUCGCGUCGCCCCCCAACAUACUCUCCCUUACUGGGUUGUCAUGUUGAUUGGGGACGGAGAUUGGUCUCCCGUGCUUCUGGUGCGGUUGGCCUAAAUAGGAGUCCCCUUCGGUGGAUACACGGCUAGUGGUGGUUGUUAAGACCCUCGUGUUGUGCUGUGUGUUGUGAGCCGUUAGGGAAACCCUCAUCAAAGACCCUAUUGUAUCGUCUCAGUACGAUGCUCGUC
rnacentral:rRNA from 1 species